AGGAAGGACUCGCUAGAUUCACGUAGAGUACAAAGCCUUCUCACCGGUGUGGUCCAGGAUGUGGUCGUCACCGGUGUGGUCCAGGAUGUGGUCGUCACUGAUGUGGUGCAGGAUGUGGUCGUCACCGGUGUGGUCCAGGAUGUGGUCGUGACCAGUGUGGUGCAGGAUGUGGUCGUCACUGAUGUGGUGCAGGAUGUGGCCGUGACCAGUGUGGUCCAGGAUGUGGUCGUCACCGGUGUGGUCCAGGAUGUGGUCGUCACUGGUGUGGUGCAGGAUGUGGGAACAACGGACCAUAAAUGUGAAGCUUCUUGGACUCCCUACACAACAGUAUUCCUUAAGAUGACAGCUAAUGUACGUGAAGGCCAGUAUAGAGGAAGUGACAGAAUCUUCAGCAAGAUGUAACCAACAGCAAGUUACUUCAGCUUCCUCAGAUAAGUUACUUAUUUAUCAUAGUAUGGCCAUCCCCAGAAGCCACUGGAUGUAAGACUCGAGAGGAGAGACUUGCUUUUCGUGAAGGGUUGGGAAGAAGCAUAGGGCAGUGGGAGGAGGGGCGCUCGUACAGUGGGAGGAGGGGCGCUCGUACAGUGGGAGGAGGGGCGCUCGUACAGUGGAGGAGGGGUGCUCGUACAGUGGAAGGGCACAUCUGCAUGGCUGGUGGUGAGCUCAUACAAAGGACAAUAGUGAAAGUUAGAUUUCUAUGUGAUACAAAAAAAUGGCAUCUACUGUGAAGGCGUGUGGGGGAUGAUGCUUAUGAGAAGACGGCUGCAGCCACAAGUGAGGGAGGGUGGUCGAGUGUACAGUAUGGGUUUAUGUAAGGAUGUAAGUUUAGAAUGUAAGAAAUUUUGGAGUAAAUGAUGAGUUGGUAGUGACACAUUGUUAAUUAUGAUUGAUCUGAAUUCAAAAUCUUGUUGCAGAUGGUUGGUGUACAGGAGGUGGACACAAGGCAGCAAGAUGAUUGUAAUGGAUUCUCACUACUGUCCCACACCUCGAGGACUACCACGUUACUAAGUAUACAGAAUUGGUAUACUGUACCGUAAGAAUAAUGUAAUAUAAAAGUUAAAGUAAGUAUUACUGAAACCUUAUUUUAUAUACUGAAAUUUGGUAAAACGUGAGAAAUUAAGGUUAUGCAUUCAAGAACGUAAAAGUAAAUCUCCAUAUUGGUAUUGAUAUAUAAUGGGCUGGUUAAUCCAGACGUAUCUAAAAUGAAAUUCAUGUUGCAGAUGGUUGGUGUACAAGAGGUGGACAAAACAGGAAGACGACUGUUCUCACUACUGUCCCACAGCCCACACCUUGAGGACUACCACAUUACUAAGGAAAUGGUUGGUGUACAAGAGGUGGACAAGACAGGAAGAUGACUGUCCAGCAUCCCACACCUUGUGACUACCACCUUACUAAGUACAGAACUGGUAGAGUAUACAGAUGGUUGGUGUACAAGAUAGAUGGACAAGACAGGAAGACGACUGUUCUCACUACUGUCCAGCAUCCCACACCUUGAUGACUACCACCUUACUAAGAAAGUAUAUAGAAUUGGUAUACUGUACCGUAAGAAUAAUGUAAUCUAAAAGUUUAAAUGGUUGGUGUACAAGAGGUGGACAAGACAGGAAGAUGACUGUCCAGCAUCCCACACCUUGUGACUACCACCUUACUAAGUACAGAACUGGUACAGUCUACUGUCUUGUGAAGUAUCAACGAGGUGUAGAACAAGAGAUACUCGGACAUCAAUCAAAUUUAUCAUUUUCUUUUAGUGGUUUGUAAAAUUAAGUGUACAGUAAUAUGUAAGUGUUGUUCAAUAUGGAGAGGCCUCUAGUGGCUUGUGCUGGAGGGGGUGGCGUUUGUACUGUGGGGUGGCGUUUGUACUGUGGGGUGGCGUUUGUACUGUGGGGUGGCGUUUGUACU
rnacentral:lncRNA from 1 species